CGAUUAAGCCAUGCGAGUCGAGAGGGUUCGGCCCUCGACGUACUGCUCAGUAACACGUGGAUAACCUGCCCUAGGGAAAGGAGAUAACCCCGGGAAACUGGGGAUAAUACCCUAUAGAUUACAGAUGCUAGAAUGCCCUGUAAUCCAAAGUUCCGACGCCCUAGGAUGGAUCUGCGGCCGAUUAGGUUGUUGUUGGGGUAAUGGCCCAACAAGCCCGUAAUCGGUACGGGUUGUGGGAGCAAGAGCCCGGAGUUGGAUUCUGAGACACGAAUCCAGGCCCUACGGGGCGCAGCAGGCGCGAAAACUUUACAAUGCGGGCAACCGUGAUAAGGGAACCUCGAGUGCCUGUAAAUGCAGGCUGUUCAGGUGCCUAAAACACACCUGAAGAAAGGGCCGGGCAAGACCGGUGCCAGCCGCCGCGGUAAUACCGGCGGCUCGAGUGGUGGCCGCUUUUAUUGGGCUUAAAGCGUUCGUAGCUGGGUUGUUAAGUCUCUUGGGAAAUCUGGCGGCUUAACCGUCAGGCGUCUAAGGGAUACUGGCAAUCUUGGAACCGGGAGAGGUGAGGGGUACUUCGGGGGUAGGAGUGAAAUCCUGUAAUCCUCGAGGGACCACCUGUGGCGAAGGCGCCUCACCAGAACGGCUUCGACAGUGAGGGACGAAAGCUGGGGGAGCAAACCGGAUUAGAUACCCGGGUAGUCCCAGCCGUAAACUAUGCGCGUUAGGUGUAUCGGUGACCACGAGUUACCGAGGUGCCGAAGGGAAACCGUGAAACGUGCCGCCUGGGAAGUACGGUCGCAAGGCUGAAACUUAAAGGAAUUGGCGGGGGAGCA
rnacentral:rRNA from 1 species